rnacentral:lncRNA from 1 species
ACGUGCUGUCAUGAAAGUUUAUACACGAAUUUCACAAUAAAACAAAUAGAAUGGUAAGAAUAAUAAGUGAAAAGUAUUUUUCACUGUUGUUUAUGAAACACAUACAUAUAAAAGUAUACCAAUAAGCUAUGUUCCAAGGAAUAUUUUCAAGUUUAUUGGAUUUAUUCCCCAAAAACCGAGACCAGAUGGCAAUACAUUUUUAAAUUAAACUGUCAACCACAGGUAUUUGGGGCAUGGACCCCCUUUUUUGGACCUCACUAAAAAAGAAAUUGUUUGGUGUUUUUUUUAUUUAUUUUCAAUUUUCUACAAUGUAUAAACAUAUAUCAAGUCUCAACAAUCCAUUGCUAGUCGAUUGCAAUAACUUUUUUACUAUCCAUACGAGCCCCAAGUGAAAAAAGAAGAAGGUAAUUACCUUCGAUGACUGACCUACUUUCACUUUGGAGGAUCAGGUAAGGAAAUCGAUAAAAAUUUCAUAUAAAAACUCACUUACUUUUCAUAAAAAGUACAUCCUUAGAUUCCUGAGAUAUUUUUCUCGAUGUUUAAAUAGGUCACAUGGUGAUCUGCGGAGGUUUUGUGUCUUGUUUUACUGAUUUUGUUCUACAAUUGUCGUCCGUUUGAACCUCGAUUCACGGAAGUGAAAAUACAGUGCCAUCUGCGUGGUCUUUUGCUAUGUUUCUAUAACUCCGUUUGACUAAACUGCUUUCCUGUUAACUGUUUUUUUUAAUUUUUAAAAGACCGGCAAAAAUACUUUUUUCGAAUAUCUCUUACCUUUUCUUAUAGCUACAUUGCAUUCGGAACCAAACUGUAAAACUGGUAACCAAAAACAGGAAAGCAGUUUAGUCAAACGGAGUUAUAGAAACAUAGCGAAAGACCACGCAGAUGGCGCUGUAUUUUCACUUCCGUGAAUCGAGGUUCAAACGGACGACAAUUGUAGAACAAAACCAGUAAAACAAGACACAAAACCUCCGCAGAUCACCAUGUGACCUAUUUAAACGUCGAGAAAAAUAUCUCAGGAAUCUAAGGAUGUACUUUUUAUGAAAAGUAAGUGAGUUUUUAUAUGAAAUUUUUAUCGAUUUCCUGACCUGAUCCUCCAAAGUGAAAGUAGGUCAGUCAUCGAAGGUAAUUACCUUCUUCUUUUUUCACUUGGGCUCGUAUGGAUAGUAAAAAAGUUAUUGCAAUCGACUAGCAAUGGAUUGUUGAGACUUGAUAUAUGUUUAUACAUUGUAGAAAAUUUAAAAUAAAUAAAAAAACACCAAACAAUUUCUUUUUUAGUGAGGUCCAAAAAAGGGGGGUCCAUGCCCCAAAUACCUGUGCUGUCAACCUGCCCGGUCCGUUCACAGGGGCUUGUUUAGUGGGUCAGACGAGGUUUUACUGUCAAUUCACGUUAGACCCCUUUCACGUUCGCACCCUUUUAUUGGUAUUGACUAUUGUCUUUAACUUAGUCUUAGUCAGAUAUAUAGUGGGAAAAUAAAUGAGGUAUGUGAUUUAACUCAAAAAAGUGCUAUAUGUACAUACUAAGCAUAAAGAACAAAAGCCAGAGAUUCUAUACACUCAACGGCCACAUACUCCAACAAGUUCAGAGCAACCCAUACCUAGGAGAGCAGAUAUCAGAAGACCUGAAGUGGAGCACGCACAUAACUAAUGUUGCUAAAAUGGCAAAUUCAACCUUAGGCUUCCUCAGAAAAAAUUUACGAUACUGACCACAGGAAUGUAAGAAAACUGCUUACAUUUCUCUAGUAAGAUCAACAAUGGAAUAUGCAGCAACAGUAUGGGACCCCUACAGUAUAGCAGACUCAAACAAGCUAGAACAAAUACAAAGACAAGCAGCACGCUUUAUCACAGGCGACUAUAGAACUAGAGAAGAUGGCUGCAUAACAAACAUGCUUACAAAAUUAGAGCUACAGGAAUUACAAUUGAGAUGCACAAGCCAAAAACUUAUAUUUUUGUACAAGGUGGUUGAGGGGCUGGUACCUGCUAUUGAUCCAGACGACUUCCUCAAAUCAGCAAGACCAAGAUGAACCAUCACAGCUAAAAUGUUUGACAACUAUCAAGCCACAAACAUAGUUGGAAAACAAGUGAGGAACAAUGCCAGGUGUUUUGACAUUCCUACCAGUAAAACACCACAACAUUCAAAUUUAUUCUUUGUGUCCACAAUUGUAAAUUGGAACCAUCUAGAAGACACUAUUGUUCGCGCAACGAGUGUAGAGAGCUUUAAAUCUGCUCUCGCGAAACGUCAGUAAAUCGACGGUGCCUUCACUCCCGUUGUAUAAAAGCCAGAAUUGGUAUCUACGACGUACCCAUACAGAUACAGAUAGUUUUUAAUUGUUUCAAAAUUAGGAGUCAUCUAAUAAAGUGAAAUACUGAAUAGGUUUACUUAGUUUAAAGGGUUUUAUUAGGCCUAAUGAACUGCAAAAAAGACAGCAAAGGUCAGAAAAAAGUCAGAGAUGUGUUUUAAAUAAAAAUAAUUUAAUUUUGGAUGCAACACGUCUUAUGAUUGGCUGACAGUGUUGCGUCUAUCAACUAAUGGUCAUAAUUUUGUCAUGUGACCGUGACGUCAUGAAUGUUUGUCAUGUUUUACUUUAAUAAAAUUAUAAGGAAUGACUGUAAUAUUUGUUCUGUCUGGGCCAAAAUUAAAAAAAGGGUUUGUUUACCAUAGCCCGACCGACCCGAUUGAAACCCUUCCGACUGUAAAGUUUGACAAAAAAUCGUAAAGUGUUUUUUGUUUUCAUUUUUACGAUUUCCGGAUUUUUUUGGGUUCUUUUCCGUAUCCGGUUGUCUUUUUCUCCUCCACUUCGGUCUUGGUCGUAAAGUUGCUUUGAAUGUCAACCUGUGUAUACUUGUGGUUUAAAGCACUAAACUGAUUCGGAUGUCCAGACAUGGACGCUAACAACAAUGUCCAAUAGGCUAUUUGCCAAUUCCCGUAAUUGACCCUGUAAUAAGAGAUCCCUUCUUUUAGUUGUCUCCCUUAUGAGGACAUAAAUUUUUUAUUUACAAUGGAGAGCUAGCAGGAAAAGCAAAUUUACCUGUGUGUAAUGUGAGUAAUCUUUAAGGUUUUCAAAUCUUUAAAUUACAUUAAUUUGUUGUCCAGCUAAAUACUUUUGACAUCAGAAAUUAUUUUUCAUGAAAAAUUAGUUAAACCGCAGAUACAUAACUUUCAAUUCAUCAUGUUUUGCAUUGGCAAAAGCCAUUUUUGUCCGGUAUGGAACCAGUCUACGAUUGACAAAGGGAAGUAAUUUGUUUAAAAAGUGUGUAAUAACAGAAUCAAAAUGGUAAUUGGCAAAUGGACUAUUGAAAAGAAAAUUAGAAGCUAUAAAGGGCCCGGAUACAGUAAAAGCAAGCUGACCACCC